rnacentral:lncRNA from 10 species
CAGCCUCCCGAGUAGCUGGGACUACAGGCUCCUGCCACCACGCCCAGCUAAUUUUUUUGUGUUUUUAGUAGAGACAGGAUUUCACCGCGUUCGCCCGGAUGGUCUCGAUCUCCUGACCUCGUGAUCCGCCCACCUCAGCCUCCUAAAGUGCUGAGAUUACAGGAGUGAGCCACUGCGCCCGGCUGCAAUAUUUCAUUUAGAAUUUUAGCAUCUGUAUUCAAGAGAGAGUCUAUCCACAAGAUCUCUGAAGAGAUCAGGUGUCCAAGCUUUGGCCCAGCAAACACAUUCUAGAAACUUCUUGCCAGAGAAGCAGCCAUUCUCAGCUCAGAAUGUUUUGUGGCAAUUCUCAUAAAACAAAACCUAACUCACCUAUUCUCAGUAUUCGACCAGCAGAACACCUCACUUACCUGUGCACAUGAUCUAAUGCAACGAAGAGUCCCUAACAGGUUACACCUGGUGAGUAUGCAGACGUAGAGAUCUUCUUUGUCUUAAAACAGGUUUUAGCUGUGGCACGGACAUUUUGGACCCAAUCAAUCUUUGUGGUGGGGGCUGUCCUGUACAUCACAGCAUAUUUACCAGCAUCCCUACUUUCCACUCCCCAGAGCCUGCACCACCCCCUCCUCAAGCUGUGAUGACCAAAACUGUCUCCUGACAUUGCUCUAAUGUCUCCAUGGGGAGCAAAAUCACUCCCUAUGGGAACCAGUGUCAUAAACCAUUUUAGAGGCAAACUACAAACUAACUCCCCAAACUGUGAUGGUGGAAAUAGUCUAUAACUUCCUAAUACAGCAGCUGAUCACUACAUGACACUGCUAAGCACCUGAAAUGUGGCUAAGUAUGAGGAGAAUUCUUAAUUUAAUUUCAUUUUAAUUAAGUCCUACAUAUACUAUAAGGACAAGAUGCUUCAUCAUGGAAAGCUGUGUAGAUAUCUGAUACCUCUGUUAAAAAUCAUGUGGUUGAUAGGCAAUAAAAACUUACAGAAAGGGUUUCACCAUGUUGUCCAGGCUGGUCUCAAACUAUCCACCCACCUCCAUCUCCAAAAGAGCUGGGAUUACAGUUGUGAGUCACUGCACCAGGCAUAAAUGUUUUAUUAGUCCUAUUUCUAUCCAUUUAAUUUUCAUUCUGACUAGGUAUUUGUUAAAUUAAGAGGUGAACUGUGAAGUUAAAGAUUACAAUGAUAGAAAUUUAAAUUCUCUUUUAAAU